rnacentral:tRNA from 1 species
GGAAUUGUGGCUCAAUGGUAGAGCACUUGCCUGCUAUGUGUGAGGCCCUGGGUUCAAUCCUCAGCACCG